CGGCCGCUGAGCCCAGCCCGUGGCGCGGCGCGGCCGGGGGCGCGCACUCGGGACACGCAGCGGGAGCGGCCGCGCCGGGCGGGUAGAGCCGGCCCGCGAGGUGCGGGCGCCGGCCGCGGGCGUCCUCUGGGCCGGGGCCCGAUAUUUUUGGAUCCCUGUCUGAUUGAUCCAUGUUUCCGAACUCUUCCUCAUAACCUUCACAAGCAGCCAAAAUGAAGUUGAAGCAUGACAUCAACCCUGUUCUUCUACAGUUUAUAAACUUUAUAAUCUUGGUGUACACCGUUGUAACUUACAUUCCCUGGUACAUAUUUUCAGGAUCAAGGGAAGCUAUAGCAAAAGCCAAGCAGGUUAAAGCUAAACCUGUGAAUAACAAGCCUGGGGCUGCAUACAGGUCUGUUAACAGUCAACAUUGCUUAGCUUCUGUUUUAUAUCCUGGAUGUGAUACGCUCGACAAAGUUUUUAAGUAUGCUAAAACUAAAUUUAAGGACAAAAAACUCUUGGGAACACGUGAAAUCCUAAAAGAGGAAGAUGAAAUCCAGCCAUCAGGAAAAGUUUUUAAAAAGGUCAUCCUUGGCAAGUACACCUGGCUUUCAUAUGAAGAUGUAUACAUUAAAGCUGUUAAUUUUGGAAAUGGCUUAGCAGUGUUGGGUCAGCAACCAAAGACCAACAUCGCUAUCUUCUGUGAGACUAGAGCGGAGUGGAUGAUUGCAGCACAGGCCUGCUUUAUGUGCAACUACCAGCUUGUUACUCUGUACGCUACUCUGGGAGGCGCAGCAAUAGUUCAUGGGCUAAAUGAAACAGAGGUGACCACCAUCAUUACUAGUAAAGAAUUGAUGCAAACAAAACUGAAGGCGAUUGUUUCUCAGGUGCCGCUGCUGCGGCACAUCAUUACGGUGGAUGGCAAACCAACAACGUGGUCGGAGUUUCCCAAGGGCGUCAUUGUUCACACGAUGGCUUCGGUGCAGGCGAUGGGCGCCAAGGCAGACACUGGACACAAACAGCAGUCCAGGCCUGUGCCCUCGGAUAUUGCGGUGAUCAUGUACACAAGUGGAUCCACAGGAGUUCCCAAAGGAGUUAUGAUCUCCCAUUGCAACAUAAUUGCUGGGAUAACUGGAAUGGCUGAGAGGAUUCCAAAAGUGGGGGAAAAAGAUGUCUAUAUUGGCUAUUUGCCUCUCGCCCAUGUUCUGGAGCUGAGUGCUGAGCUGGUGUGUCUGUCUCAUGGGUGCCGCAUUGGUUACUCUUCACCUCAGACAUUGGCUGACCAGUCCUCUAAAAUAAAGAAAGGAAGCAAAGGUGAUGUUACUACACUUAAGCCAACCCUAAUGGCAGCUGUUCCGGAAAUUAUGGAUCGGAUCUACAAAAACGUCAUGAAUAAAGUGAAUGAAAUGACUAGUUUCCAGCGGAAUCUGUUUAUCUUGGCCUACAACUACAAAAUGGAACAGAUUUCCAAAGGUUAUACUACCCCGCUCUGUGAUAGCCUUAUUUUCCGGAAAGUACGAAUGCUGCUAGGUGGGAAGCUUCGCAUCCUGCUUUGUGGAGGAGCUCCGCUCUCGGCAGCGACCCAGCGGUUCAUGAACAUUUGUUUCUGCUGCCCCGUGGGUCAGGGGUACGGGCUGACGGAAUCGGCCGGAGCCGGCACCAUCAUGGAAGCUUGUGACUACAGUACAGGGAGAGUGGGAGCACCUUUAGUCUGUUGUGAAAUCAAGUUACUGAACUGGGAAGAAGGUGGAUACUACAACACUGAUAAACCAUAUCCUAGAGGUGAGAUUCUCAUUGGAGGGCCAAAUGUGACUGUGGGCUACUACAAAAAUGAAGCACGGACCAAAAAAGAUUUCACUGUUGAUGAGAAUGGUCAGAGGUGGCUCCAUACUGGAGACAUUGGAGAGUUUCAUCAAGAUGGAUGUCUAAAAAUUAUUGAUCGUAAAAAAGAUCUGGUAAAACUCCAGGCAGGAGAAUAUGUUUCUCUUGGCAAAGUAGAAGCAGCUCUAAAGACUCUUCCACUGGUAGAUAAUAUUUGUGUGUAUGCAAGCAGUAACUGGAUUCUGCAGUUGAGAGGAAACUGAGGUAGGGAAGCCGCACACCAGUCUUCAUACCGGGAUGCAAAACAUGAGGAGAGGCAGGGCGCAGUGACAUCGUGUGGGUGCUGCUUCCCAAAGCUUUGAGCAUGAGACACAGUGGAAUAUGCAUAUGGACAGCACACCUUGAAGCAAUCCAGUUGCUGUAAGUUUCCAUUCUUAUGUGAUUGGAUUUGUUGUGCCAAAUCAAAAGGAGCUCAUAGAACUAGCUCGAAAGAAAGGAUUUAAAGGAACCUGGGAAGAGAUCUGCAACAGUCCUGAAAUGGAAAAAGAGGUACUGAAGGUGCUGGCCGAGGCUGCCAUGGCAGCUAAUCUGGAGAAGUUUGAAAUACCAGUAAAAAUUCGUUUGAGCCCGGAUCCUUGGACCCCUGAGACUGGUCUAGUGACAGAUGCGUUCAAACUAAAACGCAAAGAGCUUACAGCAUACUAUCAAACGGACAUUGAUCGAAUGUAUGGAAAAAAUGGAAAAUAAUUUUUUUGGUUUUUUUUCUGCACCACUUUGCUACAAUGAGUUUGGAUCAAAUAGGAAAUACUUGAAUUGCCUGUCUCAACACUUGGGAUCAAGACACAAACCCACCGUUCCUCAUUUGCAGCUUAAGCUGUUAUUUCUGAUAACAUCACCAUGAUGACUGGCAAGUUUAGUAAAAUGUUACGGCAGCAAACUUGUGUCUGUCUCCUGUUUUCCAGUUUUCUCUGCUACCUUGUCAGUCUGUGGAUUUUUCCCGAGUCUUUUUGGGAAACCAUGAUUCUGAAGCCUCAAGUUUUUAAACAUUUAUAAAUCCUGUAUAAUGUUUUAUUUGUAUCUUUAAAAUUUGGAUGUAUAUAGAGAGAACUCGGCUAUAUAAGAAAUGGUUAUACUGGGGGCCUUUUUUUACCUAACUAUUUAAAGACAAGAAGGUAUUGAUGUUGUGACAUUAUGUACAUUGAAAAUGCUUGUAGCAAGAUCAUUGUUGAACAAAGGACCGAGUUAUUUGCUGCUGUGCUAUUUUUCAGUGUAAAUCUGAGGGAGAUGUUUGACAUUCCAGCUUGUCUAACACACCUUCAAUAUGUGCCUAAUGGUUGCUUUUAUUUUUACCUGAAAAUGAAAACAUGGUCAAUGGCACGGCUCUGCAGAAAGACAGGUACUCUUGCAGGUGUUAGUUAAAGCUUGUUUAAUAGAUGCUAUUAACACAGCAGAAGUUAAACCUAAGAAUAAUCUCUUGAAUACAGAAACUCCUUUUUUAAAUGGCUUGUGAUCGUUCCAACCAGUAGUUGAGUUGUGUAAAGCUAAUAAGAACUCUCAGCAUUAAUUUCACUUAACACUUUGUAGGUUGGACCAGCAUCCUUUUAGUAGAGGGACUGUAGCGACUUUUGUCUUUUCUCACUGGUUUUGGAUGUUACGCUGGGUUUGCUCUUUCAUUGCUUGUGGAAGUCUGGCAAGACCCCUGUUCUGCCCCAGCUGCAACCCAAAUUUUACUGGGGGAUUUUUAAAGUCAUAAUGACAGUUAUGUUCUCAGCUCACACAGUGCCUAGCUGCCCUUUGUGCCAUUAAAAAUCUCCCUUUAAUUCUGCAUUUUUUGUUUUCAAAACAGAUAUUUGAAUUAUUUUUCAGCCAGAGCUAUUUAUGUUGCUUGGUUUGUUACACCCAGUUCUCACUUAGGGAGGGAGUCUCAUUUCUGUUUUACUAUAGAUAAAUGAAUAUUGUUUGAAGUGAGAGUGAUUAGAUUUGUUUCAGAUGUCAAUUUUAUUUUCAAUAUAUUUCUGUAAAGAAUAUUUUAACCAGAGUUACUUGAGAAUGUGAAAGGCAUAUAUCAGCCAACUUUGUGAUGAAGCAAAUAUUAAAAUGGCUUUAAUUUGGACAUUAUUCUCUCAUGCGUACCGUUUACUUGUAGUACUAAAAAUCAAGGUCUCUGCUCACUUAGUGCCCUGCUUUGGCACUCAGCAGUCCUGGGUGGCAGCAGCUUUGUGUGGGGGAAUUUGGGGAGUUCCUUCUGUCCACAUUUGUGACAUCGGAGUUCUAGAAGAUGUUUGAUAUACAACUUCUCAUUUAAAAAAUUCUGAAAUAUUAUUGAAAUUAAUGUUACAUUUAAAAUCUGUUGAUUAUAGAAAGCAGUUUCAUAGAAGUCAGAAGUUACCGGGUGGGUUCCCUGUGCUUUAGUUUUGAUGAAGCACAGAGAAGGUUUGUGCUGUAUCGUAUGUUACGUUGCCAUCUCCCGCUAUACAUGGAUGUCCCCUGCUGCUGCCUAUGAGAAACUGUUACCAUAUGCUGAAUUUUGGUGUCACUAGUCAAAUGGAAAUACGAACAACAGAAAGAAAUCAGAACCACGUUUAUGAGAUUAAUGCCUUCAUAUAUCUAGAUGAUAAAUUAAUGUCACCUGGCAAAUACAGAUAAAGCUGAUGUUGGAAAAUGACUAAAGAACCCGAAUGUGGAAAUUGCCAAGUCUGUAGAGAAGUGUAACACCAUAUAUUAGACAUGACUAAUUACAUAAAUAUGUAUCUGUGCUCCAUCAACAGGUUCUUAAAUAGUUUGUACUCAGCACAGGAUGCAUAUUGAUCAAAUAUUUUUUUGUGAUUUUUAGUGAAAAUGAAUAAACUGCUGAAGUACGAUGUAUAUCACUUGGUGCAUUGUGCAGCAGAUUUAAGAAAAUCUGCUUUUGGUUAAUUCAGAAGAAAUCUGAAGUUAGAAUUUUAUUCUGCUGAAGGUUUAUAUCUACUUUGCGUAAAUGGAACUUUGUAAAUGGUUUAGAAAUAGUAGUUUAAAUUUUUCUUCGAAUCCAGUCACAAGAUUGGGUUGCAGUCUAACUGUGUAUUUGAUUUUACAGUUCAGUUUUUAUAUGUUUAAAAUGGGUGUUGAUAUAUAUAGUUCCUCUGUCUUUAGACAUCACAUUCAUUGUGGACAUUUAUUUCUUCAAUGGAAUGCAGAAGUAAAGCAGUUCAUUAACUUUAGCCUCAGCGUUGAACAUAGAAAGACUUCUAAAAUAUUUGUAUGGGCUUCAAAUAUUUGCAAUGAAUAUGUUUUUUUUUUUUUCUUUUGACUUACGACGAGAGACAGACUUUAAUACCAUUUCUGAGUGCUUCCGUGUCAUGUUGAGGCUGCAAAAAAGGCAACUUUGGGGGAGUUUGGUGAAACCCUGUGUAGAUGCAUCACAUACCAGCCAGGACUUUACCUGGUCAUUCUCCCUGGGUUUUUUUUGUGUCUUCCCAUGCCCAGUGUAACAAGAGGAACUGAAGUACCUGCUGGAGUGUGUUGCUCGUGUCCCAGAGGCUGUGCACAGCUGUGAAUUAGGAAAAGCGCACGGCUGGAAGGAACAGUCUCUGUCACGUGGGGAAUUUUGUAAUGGCAAGAGCUGUGACCUUUAAACGGUCUUUGAACAAGGGGUGUAUACUUCACCUGAGAGGCCCCAAAAUCUGGGGGGAUUUUAAACAAAGCUCUUGUAAAUAUAAGCUUCCCAGGAAUCUGGAUAAUUGGAAAUUGUUAACUAUGUAUUCUGUUCUAAAAAUUUACAUGUUUCAUUAUAAAAAAUGACUGACCAAGAAAUUCCAAGGAUGCUCUGAAUCUCCUUUAAAUUCCUACAGUUAUUUAAAAAUAUGUCAGGACUUUAGGCUAAAUUCAAUCUAGAUGUCAUAAGUGUUCUUUGCAAAGAGUAGUGUUUCAGGAGUAGGUUAGGAAAUUAAAAAAUGACAUGUCAGACAAGACCUUGCGGGUUUACCAACGCUGCUGCUGCUGCAGUUCACACGCAGGCAGGACCAUACCUCAGUGGGAAGCUCGAUCUGUGCAGUAAAAUACUUCGCUGAAGUGAAGGCAAGAAACAAGGUGCAACUGAAGCUGAGUACACAAAGCAUGCUACUACAUCCUACAGGUUUUUAGAGACAAGAUGGAGAGAAGGGUAUGGAAUCGUAUGUUAAAAACGUCCUGUAAAGCUUGUAAAUUUGUGCAGAAAUUGCUAUAGGACGCAAGACUCUUUUGCAAUAGCCUCGAUCCUGCUAAAAUUCACAAGCUUUUAUUCCAUACUAAAACUACAUUUAGGUGAUGCAAUGCAGCAUUUUGAUUUUUUUAUUAAUGUGACAUUAACUACUUUGGACUUGCUAUAAAACUGUGUACAUCUGUUCCUUUACUGGAAGAACAACCUUCAACUUGCAUACACCUUGGACCAGGCUGAAAUGUAAAUUGAAUGACCAGUUGUAUAUUAUUGUAAUUGGUUAUUUAAUGUAAACUCAUUUUCAAUGUGAUCUUGGUUGUUGCUAUGAACUGCCUGAACAUUGUAUAUCCUAAUUGAGUUAUGUUGUAUGAAUUAUUUAUUUGUAAUUGGAUAUCAUGUUUCAAAAAUAAAAUUAAUUUCACAAA